UCCCUAGUGGUCCAGUGGCAAAGACUCUGAGCUCCCAAUUCAGGGAGCCUGGGUUUGAUCCCUGGUCAGGGAA
rfam:Ovis aries breed Texel chromosome 7, whole genome shotgun sequence.